rnacentral:lncRNA from 1 species
AGAAGUUAGUGCUAUGGAGUCUAGCGUCGUCCUUAGUGGGUCAUGCUCUGGUAGAUGUAACAUCGGGAGGGAAUGUUUGACUAUGUUUUAAUUUAGUUGUUGAUUCAACUUUACAUGUAAUGUAGUACAUGAUUUGAAUGUCGAUGUUUUGUACCCGCUGCGAAUUAUGCAAAAGAGUCUUAUUUUGAUUUAAUAAAUGAGCAUGACAGGAUAUUUG